rnacentral:rRNA from 1 species
CUGUCUCAAAGAUUAAGCCAUGCAUGUCUAAGUAUAAGCAAUUAUACCGUGAAACUGCGAAUGGCUCAUUAAAUCAGUUAUCGUUUAUUUGAUAGUACCUUACUACUUGGAUAACCGUGGUAAUUCUAGAGCUAAUACAUGCUGAAAACCCUGACUUCGGAAAGGGUGUAUUUAUUAGAUAAAAAACCAAUGCCCUUUGGGCUCUUUGGUGAUUCAUGAUAACUUAACGGAUCGCAUGGCCUUGCGCCGGCGACGGUUCAUUCAAAUUUCUGCCCUAUCAACUUUCGAUGGUAAGGUAUUGGCUUACCAUGGUUUCAACGGGUAACGGGGAAUUAGGGUUCGAUUCCGGAGAGGGAGCCUGAGAAACGGCUACCACAUCCAAGGAAGGCAGCAGGCGCGCAAAUUACCCAAUCCCGACACGGGGAGGUAGUGACAAUAAAUACUGAUACAGGGCUCUUUUGGGUCUUGUAAUCGGAAUGAGUACAAUUUAAACCUCUUAACGAGGAACAAUUGGAGGGCAAGUCUGGUGCCAGCAGCCGCGGUAAUUCCAGCUCCAAUAGCGUAUAUUAAAGUUGUUGCAGUUAAAAAGCUCGUAGUUGAAUCUUGGGCCUGGCUGGCCGGUCCGCCUCACCGCGUGUACUGGUCUGGCCGGGCCUUUCCUUCUGGAGAACCUCAUGCCCUUCAGUGGGUGUGUUGGGGAACCAGGACUUUUACUUUGAAAAAAUUAGAGUGUUCAAAGCAGGCCUUUGCUCGAAUACGUUAGCAUGGAAUAAUAGAAUAGGACGUGCGGUCCUAUUUUGUUGGUUUCUAGGACCGCCGUAAUGAUUAAUAGGGAUAGUCGGGGGCAUCAGUAUUCAAUUGUCAGAGGUGAAAUUCUUGGAUUUAUUGAAGACUAACUACUGCGAAAGCAUUUGCCAAGGAUGUUUUCAUUAAUCAGUGAACGAAAGUUAGGGGAUCGAAGACGAUCAGAUACCGUCGUAGUCUUAACCGUAAACUAUGCCGACUAGGGAUCGGGCGAUGUUUCUAUCUUGACUCGCUCGGCACCUUACGAGAAAUCAAAGUUUUGGGUUCUGGGGGGAGUAUGGUCGCAAGGCUGAAACUUAAAGAAAUGUGACGGAAGGAA